GCAGGCAAGUCGAGGUUGCACCGAGUCCCGUUUCUGAAUGCUCGCGCUGGCCCGAGGCCAGGCAGGUCAUGUGGGGACGAUGUGAUGUGCAAUCGCCGCAGUUGAAACGUGAUUGGAGCAUCUGGGAAGACUUUAUAGAAGAGAGGAUGUCUGAUUUGAGCCAAGAAGGCAUCAAGAGCAGAGGUUUUUUUCCCUGGAAUCUGAAGCACUUUAAGGUACUGAUGAUUCUUAUCAAGAGCAGAACA